rnacentral:rRNA from 1 species
GAUGAACGCUGGCGGCGUGCUUAACACAUGCAAGUCGAACGGUGAAGCAGGAGCUUGCUCCUGUGGAUCAGUGGCGAACGGGUGAGUAACACGUGAGCAAUCUGCCCUGGACUCUGGGAUAAGCGUUGGAAACGACGUCUAAUACCGGAUACGAGGCGUGGGGGCAUCCCCAACGCCUGGAAAGAACUUCGGUCCAGGAUGAGCUGGCGGCCUAUCAGGUAGUUGGUGAGGUAACGGCUCACCAAGCCUACGACGGGUAGCCGGCCUGAGAGGGUGACCGGCCACACUGGGACUGAGACACGGCCCAGACUCCUACGGGAGGCAGCAGUGGGGAAUAUUGCACAAUGGGCGCAAGCCUGAUGCAGCAACGCCGCGUGAGGGACGACGGCCUUCGGGUUGUAAACCUCUUUUAGCAGGGAAGAAGCGAAAGUGACGGUACCUGCAGAAAAAGUACCGGCUAACUACGUGCCAGCAGCCGCGGUAACAC